UUGAUUUCAGGUGUCAAUCAAUAAAUCGUGCCUGUCCCUCAAGUUGCCAAGGAAAAGUUUUUCUUUCCAACACAAGAUAUGAUCGAAAAAUGAAAAGCUCUCUUUCAAUGAAAAAUGAAACAUCAUGCAACUACUUGCAAAGGGUAGCUUCCACUUGAGCUUCAUAGACUGGAGAAGGGGGAACACAUUAAAAUGAAUUAGUCCACAGAGGUACACGAGCAACCACACCAGAUGAAAAUCUAAAUCUAUCGACAAAAAGUUGAAAUCCCAAAGAGACAACAUUUAUUAUGCUAUACUGCUCACUGCACAAAAAAGUAUUUUAUGAACAGUCAGUUUAUAGAGGAGCAAUACAAUUUUCAGGUCAAUUAAGCCACCAGCACUGCUUCUAAUUAUCUUGCUUCAGUCACCCACUUUUAUCAUUCCAAGCCCUGCAAAAUAAGCAUAGGUCAACAAGCACUUUAUACUGCAGUUUAAUUCCUUAAGAAAAUAUCCACUUUGCACUGAUACAAGUAUAACAUCUCUAAACUGUGAGAGCUAAAGCCAAAACCAAAGAAAGAUCCUUGACAUAAAAAGGGUAUAGCUGGGUAGCCUCAAAGAUACAUAAGGGAUUAUUUUUAAAUCCAUACUUUAUCACAACAGAGAAAUAGUUUUUUAAAAUUAGAAUUGUUUGAUUAAAAUGGAGUCUAUGGAUAUGGCCUUCCUGUUACUAAGAGCUUUCUGGAUAAUGGGUUUCUGGAUAACAGAUCCCACACCUGCAUAUCAUAAAUGCCCAAGCGCAAAGCAAAAUAAAGGCCACAAGCUUUAAAUCUUUGAAUUUGGCAAAACAUAGAAUAACCGAUUCCUACAAUUUAUGUGUAUGAUGUAUUUAUUUAAAACAUUGGGCUCAGACUGAGAAUUUGUUUUAAAUGAUUUUUAAAAGAUUUUUCUA